rnacentral:rRNA from 1 species
CCGCGGCCUAUCAGCUUGUUGGUGGGGUAAUGGCCUACCAAGGCGACGACGGGUAGCCGACCUGAGAGGGUGACCGGCCACACUGGGACUGAGACACGGCCCAGACUCCUACGGGAGGCAGCAGUGGGGAAUAUUGCACAAUGGGCGAAAGCCUGAUGCAGCGACGCCGCGUGAGGGAUGACGGCCUUCGGGUUGUAAACCUCUUUCAGCAGGGACGAAGCGAAAGUGACGGUACCUGCAGAAGAAGCACCGGCCAACUACGUGCCAGCAGCCGCGGUAAUACGUAGGGUGCAAGCGUUGUCCGGAAUUACUGGGCGUAAAGAGCUCGUAGGCGGUUUGUCGCGUCGUCUGUGAAAACUCGAGGCUCAACCUCGAGCUUGCAGGCGAUACGGGCAGACUUG